rnacentral:rRNA from 1 species
UACGGAGGGUGCAAGCGUUAUCCGGAUUCACUGGGUUUAAAGGGUGCGUAGGAGGGCAGGUAAGUCAGUGGUGAAAUCUCCAAGCUUAACUUGGAAACUGCCGUUGAUACUAUCUGUCUUGAAUACCGUGGAGGUGAGCGGAAUAUGUCAUGUAGCAGUGAAAUGCUUAGAUAUGACAUAGAACACCAAUUGCGAAGGCAGCUCGCUACACGAAUAUUGACUCUGAGGCACGAAAGCGUGGGGAGCAAACAGG